rnacentral:rRNA from 1 species
AUUGAACGCUGGCGGCAGGCCUAACACAUGCAAGUCGAGCGGAUGAAGGGAGCUUGCUCCUGGAUUCAGCGGCGGACGGGUGAGUAAUGCCUAGGAAUCUGCCUGGUAGUGGGGGAUAACGUCCGGAAACGGGCGCUAAUACCGCAUACGUCCUGAGGGAGAAAGUGGGGGAUCUUCGGACCUCACGCUAUCAGAUGAGCCUAGGUCGGAUUAGCUAGUUGGUGGGGUAAAGGCCUACCAAGGCGACGAUCCGUAACUGGUCUGAGAGGAUGAUCAGUCACACUAGAACUGGACCACGGUCCCGGCUCCUACGGGAGGCCGCAGUGGGGGAUAUUGGGCAAUGGGCGGAAACCUGGUCCAGCCAUGGCGCGUGUGUGGAAGAGGUCUUCGGAUUUUAAAGCACUUUAAGUUGGGAGGAAGGGCAGUAAGUUAAUACCUUGCUGUUUUGACGUUACCAACAGAAUAAGCACCGGCUAACUUCGUG